rnacentral:rRNA from 1 species
UACGGGGGGGGCAAGCGUUGUUCGGAAUUACUGGGCGUAAAGGGCUCGUAGGCGGCCAACUAAGUCGGAUGUGAAAUCCCCAAGCUUAACUUGGGAACUGCAUCCGAUACUGGAUGGCUUGAAUCCGGGAGAGGGAUGCAGAAUUCCAGGUGUAGCGGUGAAAUGCGUAGAUAUCUGGAGGAACACCGGUGGCGAAGGCGGCAUCCUGGACCGACAUUGACGCUGAGGCGCGAAAGCCAGGGGAGCAAAGCGGG